rnacentral:tRNA from 1 species
GGCUCCGUAGCUCACUUGGAUAGAGCGGUUGCCUCCUAAGCAACAGGUAGUGCGUUCGAAUCGCAUCGGAGUCA